rnacentral:misc_RNA from 1 species
AAGUCGUAACAAGGUUUCCGUAGGUGAACCUGCGGAAGGAUCAUUAACACGUAUCCAACGUUAAACAACCCUGUGCACUUUCAGACGUUCUUGUAGCCCUGGCGCCCAAAAGGUAUAAAGUUACAAUCGAGCUAGAGCACGGUGGCAUGGUUUCCCUAAGCAGUGAGGGAUCCACUGAGUAAGGAUAACGCUUCACGGUUGCUAGAGGUCGAUCACCGGCCGGCAAACAUGUCACAGGGCUAUAUGCCCCCCCUUUCACACCUUGCACUGAUCAAGCCCCACGGAAACGUCGGGGCAUUAAAACGAACAACUGUUAACAAUGGAUAUCUUGGUUCUC